rnacentral:rRNA from 1 species
AACACAUGCAAGUCGAACGCGAAAGGGACUUCGGUCCUGAGUAAAGUGGCGGCACGGGUGAGUAACGCGUAGAUAACCUGUCUUCAUGUCUGGAAUAAUACGCCGAAAGGGGUACUAAUACCGGAUAUUCUUGCUUUUCAUAAGUUAUGCAAGCAAAGGUGGCCUCUGCAUAUGCUACUGCAUGAAGAGGGGUCUGCGUACCAUUAGCUAGUAGGUGGGGUAAUGGCCUACCUAGGCGACGAUGGUUAGCGGGUCUGAGAGGAUGAUCCGCCACACUGGCACUGGAACACGGGCCAGACUCCUACGGGAGGCAGCAGUGAGGAAUAUUGCGCAAUGGGGGAAACCCUGACGCAGCGACGCCGCGUGAGUGAGGAAGGCCUUCGGGUCGUAAAGCUCUGUCAAGAGGAAAGAAGUGUACAAUGGCUAAUACCUGUUGUAUUUGACGGUACCUCUAAAGGAAGCACCGGCUAACUCCGUGCCAGCCGCCGC